rnacentral:misc_RNA from 1 species
GAUGAAGAACGCAGCGAAAUGCGAUAAGUAAUGUGAAUUGCAGAAUUCAGUGAAUCAUCGAAUCUUUGAACGCACAUUGCGUCCGCCAGUAUUCUGGCGGGCAUGCCUGUUCGAGCGUCAUUUCAACCCUCAAGCCCCAGCGGCCUGGUGUUGGGGACCGGCGACCUCGCCCGAGCCCGCCCUCCGGGGCGCGUGCCCGGUGCGUCCGCCGCCCCCGAAAUGAAUUGGCGGCCUCGUCGCGGCCUCCUCUGCGUAGUAGCACAACCUCGCAAGCGGGAGCGCGACGCGGCCACUGCCGUAAAACGCCCAACUUUUUUAGAGUUGACCUCGGAUCAGGUAGGAAUACCCGCUGAACUUAAGCAUAUCAAUAAGCGGAGGA